UCCCAUGUGGCUCAGUUAGUAGAGCAUGGUGUUUUUAAUGCCAGCAUUGUGGGUUCGAUUCUCAUGGGGG
rnacentral:tRNA from 1 species